rnacentral:rRNA from 1 species
GACGAACGCUGGCGGCGUGCUUAACACAUGCAAGUCGAACGGAAAGGCCCUGCUUUUGUGGGGUGCUCGAGUGGCGAACGGGUGAGUAACACGUGAGUAACCUGCCCUUGACUUUGGGAUAACUUCAGGAAACUGGGGCUAAUACCGGAUAGGAGCUCCUGCUGCAUGGUGGGGGUUGGAAAGUUUCGGCGGUUGGGGAUGGACUCGCGGCUUAUCAGCUUGUUGGUGGGGUAGUGGCUUACCAAGGCUUUGACGGGUAGCCGGCCUGAGAGGGUGACCGGCCACAUUGGGACUGAGAUACGGCCCAGACUCCUACGGGAGGCAGCAGUGGGGAAUAUUGCACAAUGGGCGGAAGCCUGAUGCAGCAACGCCGCGUGCGGGAUGACGGCCUUCGGGUUGUAAACCGCUUUCGGCUGUGACGAAGCGUGAGUGACGGUAAUGGGUAAAAAAGCACCGGCUAACUACGUG